GAUGAACGCUGGCGGCGUGCCUAAUACAUGCAAGUCGAGCGAAGCGGGGACGGGUGAGUAACACGUUGAUAACCUCCUAUAAGACUGGGAUAACUUCGGGAAACCGGAGCUAAACCGGAAACUUAUAGAUGGAUCCGCGCUGCAUUAGCUAGUUGGUAAGGUAACGGCUUACCAAGUCAACGAUGCAUAGCUGACCUGAGAGGGGGCUCGGCCACACUGGAGCCAGGACCCGCUGCAGACUACCAGGGGAGGCAGCAGUAGGGAAACUGCCGCAAUGGGCGAAAGCCUGACGGAGCAACGCCGCGUGAGUGAUGAAGGUCUUCGGAUCGUAAAGCUCUGUUAUUAGGGAAGCGGUGCCUGAUCAGAAAGCCGCGGCUAACUUCGUGCCAGCAGCCGCGGUAAUUC
rnacentral:rRNA from 1 species